UCAGAAAUGGACAGAGACAAUAUCAUCCGUUGAGAUUUGAAGACUAAUUUGCCCUCAAUGAAAUAAUAAAAUUCCAAGUGAAGGGCAGGAAAUGAAAAGAAUUAAAUUCUGACUGAAAGAUAGAAAUGGAAAGACACAAAUUCCUAAUUUCAAACAGAAACCUGAAACGAUUUCGGCCUCAGCUUUUGUUAGGGUGGCUGUCUCAUCUUCUGACACGGGGUCCACAAUUGUUGACAAAAGAUUGAAAAAAAUGGGAAAAAAAUUGGGGCCAAACAGGCUCUAAGCUUCAAAGCCAUUCUAGCCCGAGCUGAUUUGUUUGAAUACAGUUACAAAAUCCAUAAGAAAAACAAGCCGUAGCAUUGAUCCGACUUAUAAUAUUAUUUAUAGUUAAACUGUCUGCAUGAAUUCGGGCAAUUUCUUGCUGCAGAACAUUAUUUGGUACUUUCUGCAUGAAAGGAAAGGCACGGUAUGUGAAGGCACUUUCAUUUGUAUCAUACGUAAUUAAAAUAUGCACAUUUUCUUAAAACGUACCUGACCAAUCUUCUGGCAGCGAUGCUGAGCUUGAACAGUGCUUGCAAUUGCUGUAUUCAGAUUGUAUUUGAGGAUCACUCUUCACUUCCUGCAUAAGCAUCUUCAGUUGUUUAGAUCAUUUUGGAAUUAAUUCAUGAGGUCUUGAAAAUUAUGACCUUAACAAAAAUUCAAUCAAAUAGUAUCAAAGUAAUGUUCUUUGGUAAGAAAUUGCUUUCAAAUAUGGAGCAAGUCAAAUUUUACUUCACAUGGUUAGUACAACACAUGAAUAGGGUGCAACAUAUUAUGGUCCACAUAGGUUAGAUAGGGUGCCCAUGAGACUUCAAGAUAGAACCUUUAUAUAUGCAACAUAGAAUGUUUUAAAGACAAUGAGGAGGGCCAAAGUAUAUUUCUUAAAUGUAAUGAAAAUUCUCUAUUUUAAUUGCAGUAGUAAGUUUGGGAACAUUUGGAAUUACAUAUGAACCAGAUGAUAUAAUUUUCCCGAUGCAUAAGGAAACUUGCAACUGUAAUAGCUAAAGACAGUUUAAUUAUUAGAUUUUCUCUCUGACUGACCUGCGCCAAAGAAGCAUGGUUGUGGCUGGGGGAGGGACUUGCACUGCCACCCACAAAGAAAUGGUUCAUAUUUUCUUCUGCUAAAUCUCUCAAUCUAUCAAGCUCAGGCAAAACAACCUUGCCUAAGUCCGGGCGGUCUUUCCUUCUUAGUUCUGCACAUUGGAUUGCUAGAUUUGCAAAGUUCAUGGCUUCUUCAACAGGCCAAUUCGGCACACAAGGGUCCAGCAUCUCUUUAAAUGUCCCCCUUUCAAUUGAUCGGGCAACAAGGUGACUCAAGCCCAUUGCUGGUUUGGCUGUUAAUAGUUGUAGAAGCACAAUUCCAAAGGAAUAAAUAUCAGAUUUAACCCCAAGCAUUCCUGUUUGCUGAUAUUCAGGGUCAAUGUAGCAGAAUGUUCCAGCUGUUGAUGUCAUUCGGUAUUGUGUUACAUCCUCUGCUACAGAAGGAGGGACGAGUCUAGCCAAUCCAACAUCACUGAUUUUGCUUACAAAGUUAUUGUCAAGAAGAAUGUUUCCUGGUUUGAGAUCACGGUGAACCAGUGGCUCUGGCUUGGUUUGGUGAAGAAAGUGUAGGCCUGUGGCAAUCUCUGCAGCGAUACGGAAUCGAAGUUGCCAUGAGAGUGGCCG
rnacentral:lncRNA from 1 species